rnacentral:tRNA from 1 species
UAAAGUGGAGCUUGAAAUAAGCAUUUCAUUUACACUGAGAGGAUACUUGAUUGUAUUGAGUUACUUUAA